GACGAACGCUGGCGGCGUGCUUAACACAUGCAAGUCGAGCGGUAAGGCCCUUUCGGGGGUACACGAGCGGCGAACGGGUGAGUAACACGUGGGUGACCUGCCCUCAGCUCUGGGAUAAGCCUGGGAAACCGGGUCUAAUACCGGAUAUGACUCCAUGACGCAUGUUGUGGGGUGGAAAGCCUUGUGCGGCUGAGGAUGGGCCCGCGGCCUAUCAGCUUGUUGGUGGGGUGAUGGCCUACCAAGGCGACGACGGGUAGCCGGCCUGAGAGGGCGACCGGCCACACUGGGACUGAGGCACGGCCCAGACUCCUACGGGAGGCAGCAGUGGGGAAUCUUGCGCAAUGGGCGAAAGCCUGACGCAGCGACGCCGCGUGAGGGAUGACGGCCUGG
rnacentral:rRNA from 1 species